rnacentral:rRNA from 1 species
GAUGAACGCUGGCGGCGUGCCUAAUACAUGCAAGUCGAGCGAACGGACGAGAAGCUUGCUUCUCUGAUGUUAGCGGCGGACGGGUGAGUAACACGUGGAUAACCUACCUAUAAGACUGGGAUAACUUAGGGAAACCGGAGCUAAUACCGGAUAAUAUUUUGAACCGCAUGGUUCAAAAGUGAAAGACGGUCUUGCUGUCACUUAUAGAUGUAUCCGCGCUGCAUUAGCUAGUUGGUAAGGUAACGGCUUACCAAGGCAACGAUGCAUAGCCGACCUGAGAGGAUGAUCGGCCACACUGGAACUGAGACACGGUCCAGACUCCUACGGGAGGCAGCAGUAGGGAAUCUUCCGCAAUGGGCGAAAGCCUGACGCAGCAACGCCGCGUGAGUGAUGAAGGUCUUCGGAUCGUAAAACUCUGUUAUUAGGGAAGAACAGAUGUGUAAGAAACUGUGCACAUCUUGACGGUACCAAAACAGAAAGCCACGGCUAACUACGUG